rnacentral:rRNA from 1 species
GAUGAACGCUAGCUACAGGCUUAACACAUGCAAGUCGAGGGACCGGCGCACGGGUGAGUAACACGUAUCCAACCGGCCCAUUACUCGGGAAUAGCCAUUCGGAAGAAAGACUAAUACCCGAUAGAAAGGAGGGGGAUGCGUUCGAUUAGGUUGUUGGUGAGUUAACGGCCCACCAAGCCUUCGAUGGAUAGGGGUUAUGAGGGGAAGGUCCCCCCGAUGGGAACUGAGCCACGGUCCAAACUCGUACGGACGGCUGCAGUGAGGUAUAUUUGUCAAUGGGCGUUAGCCUGGCCCAGCCAAGUAGAGUGAAGGAUGACGGCUUAUGGGUCGUCAAGUUCUUUUAUAUAAGAAUCUGUAUUAUAUGAAUAAGGAUCGGCUAACUCCGUGCCAGCAGCCGCGGUAAUUC